ACUGUGCAUGGACAGCCCCAUGAUCUUAGUGGAUGCUUAGGAAAUCUGUGUUGAGUUCAUUACAUACAACUCUAUCUAGGAGUUUGUCAUGCCAAUAGCACAUGGGCACCUGCUCACUCUUAAGAGCCAGUCCUUUGAAGGGUAGUGAGUGCUUCUAGGACAUUGGAAUUGAACAGAUGCUUGGUGCUAUGGAGUCUGGUUCAUUAGAGGGUUAGCUCAUUUCCUGGGAAGCAAAUAGGUGUUGCAGAAGUUGUUUCUUUACCCUUCUCGUAGUACAACAAAACGAAAUGUCUUAAAUAUUAUUAUUUAUAUUGUAGGUAAAUUCAACUGGAAGGGAACUAUUAAAGCAAUUCUGAAACAGGCCCCAGACAAUGAAAUAACCAUCAAAAAGCUAAGGAAAAAGGUUUUAGCUCAGUACUACACAGUGACAGAUGAGCAUCACAGAUCCGAAGAGGAACUCCUGGUCAUCUUUAACAAGAAAAUCAGCAAGAACCCUACCUUUAAGUUAUUAAAGGACAAAGUCAAGCUUGUGAAAUGAACAUUUGUGUAUUUAAAAAUUGAAUCCAUUCUGCUGACUUCUUCCUUUCACUGCUGUUUAUAAAAUGUGUAAUGAAUUCUAACAACUCAAAUUUUGCUUUUUGAAGCUGUAUUUUUAAGUUAAGAAAAUAUAUUUUUGGUAUAACUUUUAUGAGAAAAAUAAAAUAUAUUCUGGUCCAAACUUCUAAA
rnacentral:lncRNA from 1 species